rnacentral:rRNA from 1 species
UACGAAGGGUGCAAGCGUUAAUCGGAAUUACUGGGCGUAAAGCGUGCGUAGGCGGUUUCUUAAGUCUGCUGUGAAAGCCCCGGGCUUAACCUGGGAAUGGCAGUGGAAACUAGAGAACUUGAAUCUGGCAGAGGGGGGUGGAAUGCCACGUGUAGCAGUGAAAUGCGUAGAUAUGUGGCGGAACACCGAUGGCGAAGGCAGCCCCCUGGGCUGAGAUUGACGCUCAGGCACGAAAGCGUGGGGAGCAAACAGG